rnacentral:rRNA from 1 species
ACGAACGCUGGCGGCGUGCUUAACACAUGCAAGUCGAACGAUGAAGAAAAGAAUCGAAGCUUCGGCAGAAAUUCAUUUCGGAUUAGUGGCAGACGGGUGAGUAACGCGUGAGCAACCUACCUCUUACAAAGGGAUAGCCUCGGGAAACCGGGAUUAAUACCAUAUAACAUUGUGACGAGGCAUUUCGAUGCAAUCAAAGCUACGGCGGUAAGAGAUGGGCUCGCGUCCCAUUAACCGGAUGGUGAGGUAACGGCUCACCAUAGUGACGAUGGGUAACCGGCCUGAGAGGGUGAACGGUCACACUGGAACUGAGACACGGUCCAGACUCCUACGGGAGGCAGCAGUGGGGAAUAUUGCACAAUGGAGGGAACUCUGAUGCAGCGACGCCGCGUGAGUGAUGAAGGAAUUCGUUUCGUAAAACUCUGUUCUAUGGGAAGAAAAGGACUGUACCAUAGGAGAAAGCUCCGGCUAAAUACGUG